rnacentral:misc_RNA from 1 species
GUGAAUCAUCGAAUUUUUGAACGCAAAUUGCACUCUCUGGUAUUCCGGAGAGCAUGCCUGUUUGAGGGUCAGUUUAAAUAAAACUUGGUGUGGUUGAUGCUUUUCGUGGUGAUGUACCGGAUUUGGGUCGUCUUGCCUUCGGUUAAGUGAAAUACAAUUUUGCAUGAUUUUUUCGUACGUAUUUAAAUGAUUUUAUGUAUGUUUGAGAUACCGAAUAAUAGGUGUGGUCAUCCUUAUGAUUCGUGUCUAUAUUUUUUUAUCAAAAUGACUUCAUAUAAGGU